rnacentral:rRNA from 1 species
AGUCGAGCGAGCUUGCCUAGAUGAGUUUGGUGCUUGCACCAGAUGAAACUAGAUACAAGCGAGCGGCGGACGGGUGAGUAACACGUGGGUAACCUGCCCAAGAGACUGGGAUAACACCUGGAAACAGAUGCUAAUACCGGAUAACAACACUAGACGCAUGUCUAGAGUUUAAAAGAUGGUUCUGCUAUCACUCUUGGUUGGACCUGCGGUGCAUUAGCUAGUUGGUAAGGUAACGGCUUACCAAGGCAAUGAUGCAUAGCCGAGUUGAGAGACUGAUCGGCCACAUUGGGACUGAGACACGGCCCAAACUCCUACGGGAGGCAGCAGUAGGGAAUCUUCCACAAUGGACGCAAGUCUGAUGGAGCAACGCCGCGUGAGUGAAGAAGGGUUUCGGCUCGUAAAGCUCUGUUGGUAGUGAAGAAAGAUAGAGGUAGUAACUGGCCUUUAUUUGACGGUAAUUACUUAGAAAGUCACGGCUAACUACGUGCCAGCAGCCGCGGUAAUACGUAGGUGGCAAGCGUUGUCCGGAUUUAUUGGGCGUAAAGCGAGUGCAGGCGGUUCAAUAAGUCUGAUGUGAAAGCCUUCGGCUCAACCGGAGAAUUGCAUCAGAAACUGUUGAACUUGAGUGCAGAAGAGGAGAGUGGAACUCCAUGUGUAGCGGUGGAAUGCGUAGAUAUAUGGAAGAACACCAGUGGCGAAGGCGGCUCUCUGGUCUGCAACUGACGCUGAGGCUCGAAAGCAUGGGUAGCGAACAGGAUUAGAUACCCUGGUAGUCCAUGCCGUANACGAUGAGUGCUAAGUGUUGGGAGGUUUCCGCCUCUCAGUGCUGCAGCUAACGCAUUAAG